GACCAAAAAAGAAAGAAGUCACGCAUCUCACCUCAGAUGCUAUAAAUCUGGUAAAUUUAUUCUGAGACAAGUGACCAGCAUCAGAUGAGUUACAGGACCCUCAAUAACUCACUGGGAGGCUAUAAAGGAGGAAUACCAUCCCCUCAUUUUCCUGAUGAAAAUCACUGACCGCGGCAUGGAAAAAUCCCAAACUCAGCACCUCUGCUUUCUUUAACCAGUCAUGCUGGCGUCCUGGCAGACCGAUUUGGAAACCAUGAUUAAUCCCCUGGUAAACAGAAAAUAGGCUCUGGAGUCAAGAGAAGCCAAACCCGAGUCACCCUCUGGAGACUCUACUCUUAGCCAGUUUAACUCUACCUCCUCCUCCAGGAGCUGGCUAACUUGCCUGGUAAUUUUUAGCAAACAGAAAGGUCUUUCCUUGGUGACAGAAGAGCCCAGUGAAACAGAGACUAAAGUGUCGCUGUCACUGACCACAAGCUGGUAUAACCCACAUAUAUGCAGCAGUUACCGUGUCCUGUACAGUUGACAUGAAAUUGGCUGGAACCCCAAGCUACAUGGAACAGAAGACCCAAUAUCCUUCCCAAUUUUUCCAGCAGUCAAAGGCUCUGUUUCAUUUCCUGCAGGAUUAGCUAUCAUAAGAAAAUCAAGACACCAGAAGUUUGAAAAACAUUUCAUCAAGCUGAAAUCAAAGUGUCAGCAAGGCCAUCCUGCCCUCCACCCACAGGCUCUGAGGGAGAGUCCAUUUUGACCUGCCAGCAACUGUGUAGCUGUGGAUAUUCCUUCACCCCAGUGUCUGCUCCUAAGCACAUGGCCUCCUCCUCUUCCGCGCAAUGUACCUGUCUCUCCCUUAUGAAGAUGCUUGUGAUGGCAUUUAUGGCCCACCCUGAUAAUCCAGGAUAACCUCUUGCCUCAAGAUCUUUCCUCACAUCGGCAAAUACCCUUUUUCCAAAUAAGAUAAGCACAAGACAGUGGACAGGCCUACAUUAGUUCUACCUAUUCCUGGAACUCCCUCCAGUUUCUCCACCUCCAGGACACAGUGCGUGUAUCCAGCUCUGCGAUGAAGGCACCGAGUUCAGCGGGACACCCGCACUACCAAGGGAGCCACUACAGAGGCAGCGUGCGCUGCCAGCAGCAGGAGUGCAUGGCUCAGCUCCUUCCCUGGGGAAACCACGCUCAGCACCAAGCUGCCGGAGCUUUGAACCGCAUCUGUGAGCAUCUGUGAUUUAUCUUGAUUUUAUUUUGUGCAUCCUUUGGCAAGAGGUGAGUAAGGUAUCAGAAAAACCUAAGAGAGGUUAUUUUUUUUAGGUCUAGGAAUACUCAAAAAAUUUUCCAUAUUAAUUAAUGGCAACUGCUUUUUUGCUUUAUAUACCAUUUUGGCUUUUGAAUGGCUUCAUAGGAAUGUUCUACUUUUGGAUAGCUGGGGAAACCUGUGUUUAGAAACACACACACACACACACACACACACACACACACACACACACAUCUUAGUGGUUCUCCUAUACUUAUUGAACUCUCAUAUACUGGGUGAUUGGUAGAUUGUGUUUAUUAUCUUACUCUCAAUAUUUUGGCUAUGUUUGAAAUUUCCCCCAUUAGUAUAUUUUAUGUCUCUAUGGAAGAAUUGGGUGGUAGGAUGUGUACCAGAUGCAGGAGAAGUACGUGAGCAGAGCCAUCACAGGCACAGGGAAGGGUCCUUCUCACUGGCCAAUAUCCCUGUUUGCUUCUUGCCUCAUCAGCUCCUCCUUAUGUUCUAUCCCCACUAAAUGCGAAUCAGCUUAAUCUCCCUAAUCCUUCUAAGAAUCCACCUCCAAAUUUCAACCAGCCUGCCUGUAGCGUAAUUCUUAAUCUCUGUAAAUAUCUCUGUCUUCUUACUGGAUUUCCAACUCCAUGUUCCAUGUCUCCUUACUCCUAGACAACCAACAUCUAACAAGUAACAUUCUUUUUCAGAAGCAAAAGCUAAUCCUCUGACUUCCAAUUUCUCUUGGCCAUUCAUUCCUGGUCCCUAACCACAAAACCCAGAGCUGUCUUAGACACCACCUCUCUUCCAUACAAUCUUUGUCCAUAUCCUGCCAAUUUACUUCCACAGAUUGUCUGUUCUAGGGUAUCACAAUAGUCUCUCUUCUCUUCAUUAUCUUACCCAUCUGAUC